rnacentral:rRNA from 1 species
GGGUUGUGAGGUUAAGCGACUAAGCGUACACGGUGGAUGCCCUGGCAGUCAGAGGCGAUGAAGGACGUGCUAAUCUGCGAUAAGCGUCGGUAAGGUGAUAUGAACCGUUAUAACCGGCGAUUUCCGAAUGGGGAAACCCAGUGUGAUUCGUCACACUAUCAUUAACUGAAUCCAUAGGUUAAUGAGGCGAACCGGGGGAACUGAAACAUCUAAGUACCCCGAGGAAAAGAAAUCAACCGAGAUUCCCCCAGUAGCGGCGAGCGAACGGGGAGCAGCCCAGAGCCUGAAUCAGUGUGUGUGUUAGUGGAAGCGUCUGGAAAGGCGCGCGAUACAGGGUGACAGCCCCGUACACAAAAAUGCACAUGCUGUGAGCUCGAUGAGUAGGGCGGGACACGUGGUAUCCUGUCUGAAUAUGGGGGGACCAUCCUCCAAGGCUAAAUACUCCUGACUGACCGAUAGUGAACCAGUACCGUGAGGGAAAGGCGAAAAGAACCCCGGCGAGGGGAGUGAAAAAGAACCUGAAACCGUGUACGUACAAGCAGUGGGAGCACGCUUAGGCGUGUGACUGCGUACCUUUUGUAUAAUGGGUCAGCGACUUAUAUUCUGUAGCAAGGUUAACCGAAUAGGGGAGCCGAAGGGAAACCGAGUCUUAACUGGGCGUUAAGUUGCAGGGUAUAGACCCGAAACCCGGUGAUCUAGCCAUGGGCAGGUUGAAGGUUGGGUAACACUAACUGGAGGACCGAACCGACUAAUGUUGAAAAAUUAGCGGAUGACUUGUGGCUGGGGGUGAAAGGCCAAUCAAACCGGGAGAUAGCUGGUUCUCCCCGAAAGCUAUUUAGGUAGCGCCUCGUGAAUUCAUCUCCGGGGGUAGAGCACUGUUUCGGCAAGGGGGUCAUCCCGACUUACCAACCCGAUGCAAACUACGAAUACCGGAGAAUGUUAUCACGGGAGACACACGGCGGGUGCUAACGUCCGUCGUGAAGAGGGAAACAACCCAGACCGCCAGCUAAGGUCCCAAAGUCAUGGUUAAGUGGGAAACGAUGUGGGAAGGCCCAGACAGCCAGGAUGUUGGCUUAGAAGCAGCCAUCAUUUAAAGAAAGCGUAAUAGCUCACUGGUCGAGUCGGCCUGCGCGGAAGAUGUAACGGGGCUAAACCAUGCACCGAAGCUGCGGCAGCGACGCUGAUGCGUUGUUGGGUAGGGGAGCGUUCUGUAAGCCUGCGAAGGUGUGCUGUGAGGCAUGCUGGAGGUAUCAGAAGUGCGAAUGCUGACAUAAGUAACGAUAAAGCGGGUGAAAAGCCCGCUCGCCGGAAGACCAAGGGUUCCUGUCCAACGUUAAUCGGGGCAGGGUGAGUCGACCCCUAAGGCGAGGCCGAAAGGCGUAGUCGAUGGGAAACAGGUUAAUAUUCCUGUACUUGGUGUUACUGCGAAGGGGGGACGGAGAAGGCUAUGUUGGCCGGGCGACGGUUGUCCCGGUUUAAGCGUGUAGGCUGGUUUUCCAGGCAAAUCCGGAAAAUCAAGGCUGAGGCGUGAUGACGAGGCACUACGGUGCUGAAGCAACAAAUGCCCUGCUUCCAGGAAAAGCCUCUAAGCAUCAGGUAACAUCAAAUCGUACCCCAAACCGACACAGGUGGUCAGGUAGAGAAUACCAAGGCGCUUGAGAGAACUCGGGUGAAGGAACUAGGCAAAAUGGUGCCGUAACUUCGGGAGAAGGCACGCUGAUAUGUAGGUGAAGUCCCUCGCGGAUGGAGCUGAAAUCAGUCGAAGAUACCAGCUGGCUGCAACUGUUUAUUAAAAACACAGCACUGUGCAAACACGAAAGUGGACGUAUACGGUGUGACGCCUGCCCGGUGCCGGAAGGUUAAUUGAUGGGGUUAGCGCAAGCGAAGCUCUUGAUCGAAGCCCCGGUAAACGGCGGCCGUAACUAUAACGGUCCUAAGGUAGCGAAAUUCCUUGUCGGGUAAGUUCCGACCUGCACGAAUGGCGUAAUGAUGGCCAGGCUGUCUCCACCCGAGACUCAGUGAAAUUGAACUCGCUGUGAAGAUGCAGUGUACCCGCGGCAAGACGGAAAGACCCCGUGAACCUUUACUAUAGCUUGACACUGAACAUUGAGCCUUGAUGUGUAGGAUAGGUGGGAGGCUUUGAAGUGUGGACGCCAGUCUGCAUGGAGCCGACCUUGAAAUACCACCCUUUAAUGUUUGAUGUUCUAACGUGGACCCGUAAUCCGGGUUGCGGACAGUGUCUGGUGGGUAGUUUGACUGGGGCGGUCUCCUCCUAAAGAGUAACGGAGGAGCACGAAGGUUGGCUAAUCCUGGUCGGACAUCAGGAGGUUAGUGCAAUGGCAUAAGCCAGCUUGACUGCGAGCGUGACGGCGCGAGCAGGUGCGAAAGCAGGUCAUAGUGAUCCGGUGGUUCUGAAUGGAAGGGCCAUCGCUCAACGGAUAAAAGGUACUCCGGGGAUAACAGGCUGAUACCGCCCAAGAGUUCAUAUCGACGGCGGUGUUUGGCACCUCGAUGUCGGCUCAUCACAUCCUGGGGCUGAAGUAGGUCCCAAGGGUAUGGCUGUUCGCCAUUUAAAGUGGUACGCGAGCUGGGUUUAGAACGUCGUGAGACAGUUCGGUCCCUAUCUGCCGUGGGCGCUGGAGAAUUGAGGGGGGCUGCUCCUAGUACGAGAGGACCGGAGUGGACGCAUCACUGGUGUUCGGGUUGUCAUGCCAAUGGCACUGCCCGGUAGCUAAAUGCGGAAGAGAUAAGUGCUGAAAGCAUCUAAGCACGAAACUUGCCCCGAGAUGAGUUCUCCCUGACUCCUUGAGAGUCCUGAAGGAACGUUGAAGACGACGACGUUGAUAGGCCGGGUGUGUAAGCGCAGCGAUGCGUUGAGCUAACCGGUACUAAUGAACCGUGAGGCUUAACCUUACAACGCCGAAG